rnacentral:lncRNA from 1 species
GGAAUAGAGAAAACAUGCAGGCAUGUGUCCAUGGACAAAGAAGAAGAGAAGACAUCUUGGUUGAGAGCUACAUGGUGAAAUGGUGGCAAUAUGGGAGAAAUUGCCAUGUUGUAACUAGGCCUUAACAGAAAAAGCCUAUACAAUGGUUUGUCUUCUAAUUUUUUUAAAAACUGCUUUGUAAAACAGAUGAAAUUCUUUUUUUUUACAACCUUGCUUCCUGUUAAGGCUGUGGGCUAUGUCACUACCAGUUCACAUACCAAACAUAUACAUAUGUUUACGUAUGAGCCAUAUUUGUACCACCUUUUCAGGUUUCAUCCCUAUCUUGUUCUAUGGAUUUUUUCCCCUGAGGAUGAACACAGCAGAUGGCAGAGACCACGGAGAAGAUGGAGUCUGUCUCCAAAGAAAGGUGUUCAAACAGGGUCAGCAACCUGAGUACUUCAAAAGCACAUGGAAGUCCUGCAGCAUGAGCUUUCUCCCAGAAAGCUAGUGCAAGAGUGGGUGGUUUUAUGAAAAUUGCUUGAAUGCGGGACUGGUCUUCAGAAAAGAAUUCUGCAAAAUGCCUGGUGGACAUGUAGACAAUAGGGGAGUGUCUGCAAUAACAAUGGAAAGCACUUUCCCUAAUGGGAAACAUCCUCAUCAUUCAUAACAUAUCCUUGCGCUAUGUGGUUCUUCGGGUGUUGAAAUGUAGGGUGGAUCCAAAACCCUGAGUGCAGCUGAUCCAAGUUAUCUAAUUGCUGCUAAUGUUUUUCUCGUUGGUGGGCACAGGAAACUUGUGUAAUGAAAAACAACAUUAAAAUAGCACUAGGAUUCUGUCUUACAGCACCAAGAGAAAAGAGGCACUAGUCUUCCUGCAUUAAGGAUGCCAGCCACUCCAGCUCCCCAGCCAGCUCUCUUUGAACAUUUUGUACAGUAUCUGCAACAAUACUAACGAAUGCAAUUAGGAUGAAUCACGUAACAAGGAUGAAUCAAGGGUACAAAGGGGAUCUGGCUGCUCAACAGAAAUCUAAAACUAAAACCACCCACUACAUCCCUUUCAGAGCAAGAAUGGUUUGACCGGAAUGCGCUUCAAUAAAGUAUUUUUCUGUUCUUUAGCCUAACGCUGU